GACAGAGGAUGCAAGCGUUAUCCGGAAUGAUUGGGCGUAAAGCGUCUGUAGGUGGCUUUUUAAGUCUGCCGUCAAAUCCCAGGGCUCAACCCUGGACAGGCGGUGGAAACUACCAAGCUAGAGUGCGGAAGGGGCUACUGGAAUUCUCGGUGUAGCGGUGAAAUGCGUAGAUAUCGAGAGGAACACCUGCGGCGAAGGCGGGUAGCUGGGCCGACACUGACGC
rnacentral:rRNA from 1 species